GAUGAACGCUGGCGGCGUGCUUAACACAUGCAAGUCGAACGAAGCACUUUAUUUGAUUUCCUUCGGGACUGAUUAUUUUGUGACUGAGUGGCGGACGGGUGAGUAACGCGUGGGUAACCUGCCUUGUACAGGGGGAUAACAGUUGGAAACGGCUGCUAAUACCGCAUAAGCGCACAGCAUCGCAUGAUGCAGUGUGAAAAACUCCGGUGGUAUAAGAUGGACCCGCGUUGGAUUAGCUAGUUGGUGGGGUAACGGCCCACCAAGGCGACGAUCCAUAGCCGACCGGAGAGGGUGCCCGGCCACAUUGGGACUGAGACACGGCCCAAACUCCUACGGGAGGCAGCAGUGGGGAAUAUUGCACAAUGGGCGAAAGCCUGAUGCAGCGACGCCGCGUGAGCGAAGAAGUAUUUCGGUAUGUAAAGCUCUAUCAGCAGGGAAGAUAAUGACGGUACCUGACUAAGAAGCACCGGCUAAAUACGUG
rnacentral:rRNA from 1 species